rnacentral:lncRNA from 1 species
AGUCUGGAGCCUUCAGGUUGUCCCCGGUGCGCAAGCAGCAGGACGAGGCCCAGGACUUUUCGGGUCUGUACGUUUGCUGAGAGUGGUGUUCUUGUGGCGGGGGCGGAAGGUGGACGUCUUAGGAAGCCUUGCGACCCAGUAGAGACCCCCACAGGGACUCCGCAGUGCCUGGGGAUGGCCUGGACCUCGCCCGGGAAAGCUGACACUUCACAGGCCUCUCUAAUGUCCGAAGUGCUCCAGAAAAUGAAUCUAUUUGAGGGUGAUAGUCCAGGUUGCUGAUGCCACCACCAUAAUUCAUCACCAGAGAUGGAGAAACUCUGUACCAUGAUGCCAGCUGGGCAAGGAAGAUCACUUUGCUGAGUGCUGGCAGGACUGAUUCAAUAGUUAUGCGGGCUCUGGGCUCCCGUGGCUGCCUUUAGCAUCUGGAUGCUGUAACUUGGAAGUUUGGGUGAGUUAACACCAGUGAGAGAAAGAA